UAAUGUUCACUAUAAUAAAGUUUGCCUCCUGAUAGUGUUCGCUGAUUUGUGUUAUCAAAAUGAAUAUCAAAACCGACGAGAGUAACACAAAAUGAGAUUUGCCUUUUGUCAAAGGUAGAGAAGAGUAAAAUAUACAUGAAAGGGAGGCUUCCGAUACGAAAAAGCAACUAGAUCUACUUAUGACUGUUUCCAGGUACUUAUAUAUGUUAAGAUUUUAGAUUAAAAAUUUAAAGUUUUUUGUCUGUCAAAUAUUGGUUCCUACCAUUGAGCAUAAAAAGGAAUUUUGAUAUAAUAAAACAAUUGUUGAAUUUUCUGUCAUUGAAUAUGAUGUGAUAUUUAGAAGACAAUAUUGACCGAGACGACGAAGUUAGGUGAUCUGCUAAAUGGUUAUCGCGGAGAAAAAAUUAUUAUUUAGUGCGACAGCUUGCACGUUCGAUAUACAGAUACUUUGUCAAGAUGGUAGAGUGCAUAACAGUAUCAGCAGUCACUGGUACAUCUGACCAAAAUUGACAGAUGACAUUGGGCCGAAGUUCAGCAGAUAGCAGAUAUCAAUAGCUUACCGAUAUCUCUUGGAAACAAUAUCCGACUGAUAAAAAUCUUAUGAUGGGCCAAUAUCAAAAACAACAUCGGGCAGAUAUCGGUGUGAUAGAUCGUUAACACGGAUAUAGAUGACGAAUCUAAAACUAAAUCUUGUCAACAGUUUGUUUAGCAAUCUACAGUGUGACCCUAUUCGAUCCAGUACAUUUGUACCCAAUUCAGGUUCUUCCCACUCAUAAACCCCAAACGCGUGAUAUUUAUCGUGUAAAUAUCCAUGUGCAAAUCUGUGUGAAUGAAUUCAGCAUAUUGAGAGACGUUGGUUUACCAAGGUGUGACAUUAUUGUUGUUGGGUUCAACAUCACAACGAUACAGUUACAGGUCAUACAGCGACUUUAAAUGUGUUUAUGUUGGAGGGAGAAACCCGCUGCCCUUCUAGCAUUAUUUUAGACAAGUUGGUUGCUAACUGUUAAUUUCCAAAAAAUAUAUUUUCUGAAAAUAGAUAAUUUUAUUCCUAAUUGAUAUGUGUGUAUCGUAGUUGGGUUCCACACACCUGAUUAAGAAAUGGUCCUCAGCAGGCCUGCAAUGGCAAACAAAGCUUAUAAACUCUUGAAAAGUAUCAGCAACACAAAAUUGCAUAAAUCAUGUUUGUAUCACGUUCUGAGUGCGGAUAUGUACAGUGUUAUUGCGGAAACCGUUUGAAAAUCAGCAGGUGUUAAAAUUAGGAUGGUUGUUUGUACAAGAUGUAAACGAAUGAUGAUGAAUGACUAUUUGAUAAUAGUAAAAUCGUGUACAAGUAUUAUAGGAUAUUUACAAACAUGUAGAUUACAAUUAUACAAGAACAAUAUUAAAUGACCAAAUAAUGACAUUGACAGACAAUACUAGUCCUUAUCGUGCUGGACACGACUGCUUUUGCCUAUACGACCAGUGUAGAUCAUUAUAAACCUGCACAUCUUUGCAGUCUGAUCAUGAUCUGCAUUGUUCGCCGUUCAGUCAGCAUAUCUUUGGUAAGCAUCCCUUUUAAACAGAUACGAUACGAUACUGUCCAAAUUGAAAUUUAGCAUUAUAGAAAUUUAGCAGGAUAAGGGCUAGUACACAAUAUCAUACAUAAAAUGAGCAAGUACCGUUAAACAUAUGAAGAGUUGUCAGCACAGAAAUGUAAUCACUGAUGUGUAGUUGCUGAGAAACUAACUCGCUGACCGGCAAUCCUAAACAGAACAUUGUUGGGAAAACUUACAAAGUACCAAAGAACAUGAUCAGGUUUUAGCAGACAGAGAACCUCGUCUCAAAAGAGCACAUUCUGAAAGGAGUCAAUAUGAUAAUUACUGAACGAGUGACGUCGCAGUUGCUAGGUGUAAACUAUUAGUUUAAAAACAAAAGACGAGAGAAUUAACUUUUGUUUAUUGAUGUGUUCGCAGAAGAAGGAGCAUGUUCUGAUACUGAAAGAAGAGGUAGGUUUAUUUUUUUUGUACAAAAUAUUUUUAUGUAUGAUUAUUUCUUUUCCAAACUGGAACAGUUUUUCUUCUUCUUUAAUCUGACUGACAAAUUGAUUACCUUUUAUUAGCUUUCUGUCAAAUUUAUCAUUUUGAAUAGUCUAGAAUUAAUGAAUUUUUUCUCCUAAUAAUUGUAUUUAGUAAUAUUGUGCAAUGAAAAUUGUACAUAAUACACUUUUACACAUUAUCUUUCCGCUGUUUGCAAGAAAGAAAACAUUGUCGUCUGACUACCCAUUUUCAGUCGCUAUAGUAACAAACGAAAGCUGAAGCGAUGCAGGUCAAAUAUAUACAUUUCCUAAAGAAUUCAAAAUAAAGUUUGUCAAUUAACCGCUGUGGCAUAUGUUGGCAUGUUAAAUGUACUGAGGGCUAUAUUUUGUGCACAGACUUCAAAUUUGAUAUGAGAAUGAAAUAGAUAUUGUAUACUUCAAAUAUGAAAUUUUAUCAGUCGGAUUUAAUUUGUAAUGAAAGUUUAUUAAAUCUAGAUCACCCGUCGUAAGCAUAUGGUUGUCAUUUGUUGUACAUGUUUAAUGUUGAAUCAAUCUUGAUGUAUGAGCGUUUGUUUGCACUGAUUUACAGAUUGACGUGUGUCUCUAGAACUAUUCUUUUUUUACCUUAUAUAUGGAAUUAUAUGAUGAAACUACAUGAAAUGUAAACUAUUUACAAACAUCGAAACUGCUAUCCUUACUAUCAUCAAAUUGUUUUGUUACAGGCUGGCGCUUCAAAUGCAUUAGUGUUAGAUACAUAACAAAAUCCUGUCCAUGGAGAGAUUAUGGAAGAUUAAAGAUCUGACGGGGCAAAUAUGUCAAAUAGACCUUAAUGUUUCUUUGUAACCGUGUACGUCGUCAGGACUACACAGGCACCAUGUUAUAUCAUUAAUUACGCCAUUAAAUGUCUAUGUCUAUAUUUGCACCCGUUUCUCAGCUGAUACUCGAAAUAUACCCUGCAUGUUCUUCGUAGAUACACUGACGCUUUCUUAAAUAGCAUCAGCAAACUCGUACCAGUUUAGUUCUUCAUCAAACUUAACCUUCACAUGUACAUUUUCUCCAAUGAUAACAGGAAUUUAUAGACGUUUCUUAGCUCUUGCUGCUGCCAUACUGGUGAAGAUGUACAAUUAAAAGUUUGUUAACUAAGACAUUCAGCAACAAAGUAAAAUUAAGGUUUACAUUGAAUUUGUGUCUCAGUAGCAACUCCUCACAACUUAAUAAAACAUUAAACAUGUCUUAGUCGUCAUAAUUAGAAUACAUUGAGAUUUGUUUUCUAAAUAUUGCUUAUAUGUUUGAGCAAAUUUGCCUCUAUUACAUUUUUCUCUUAAUCGUCAUCAAGUUAGUGUCAGAGUUACUUCACAUAAGAACUACAUGAGCUUUAAUAAUGUCUCCGCAAUCAUAAUUACAGGAAAUGAAAUAUGUUGCUAUCAUUCUCUCCUGUUUAUUGUAUUUCUAAUUAUAAACUUCCUGUUUCCAAAUUCCUCAUUAGCCUCUCAAAAGUAACGUUCUUCUCUUUUAAAGAUCGAAAAUUCUUGUUUUUCUUGAUAUUGUUUCUUUAAUGAAUAUCUCCCAACCCACCUUAUUGCAACCCCGCAAGAUAUAAUUUGACUUUCAGAUUUUGAUGAACCUUGAGUGUGUUUCAUGGUGCCCUUACCCGUUCUUGUUUCUUGUCUUUUUUUACACCAGAAAAAGUGUUCACAUUAAUUUUCUCGUGUCGUCUCAAUAUCAGUUUUAGUAUCUAUCUCCUUUCCUCCGUUUUUGCCUUUUAUCUUUUUAUUAUCUGCUACUUCUGUUUCUACAUACUGCUUCUUAUCAUCGACUUUCACAAUUUAAAAAGGUAAAGGGUUUUGUAUUUUCCGUCAUUAUCUUCCAGUUCAUUGUGUUUCUCAAUAUAUCUUUACCCUCUCCUCCCAACCACCGCCCAGGCCAAACAGUCUUUUAUUUUCUUCUUCCUCUUUCAGUUUCAUGGUAUCUUGAUCCUGUACCUGUCGCCUAUCCAACAAUUCCCCGAAAGUCAGAAAAUUUUAGAAUUUUCUCUAUAUGGUGGCAUCCUAUUUCUUCUUUAUAAAAUCGGCAGACAUUGCUGUCUAUAUUACAUGACUUAUAUUGUGUUUGAGUGUUCUCCACUUGAGUUGUUACUUAUCCAAGUUAAGCAUUGAUAUGAUCAAGAAUAAUUUCGUAAGAUAUUUCCAAAUAAUUCUUUAACCAUUUAAUUUUUUUUCAUUCGAAAAUGAGACUUUUAUUGAGUAUUCUUUUACAGAAAGAUUGUAAUACAGUUUAUUCUACCUUUGGCAUACGUACGUGCUUUUGUUAAAAUUCGUUUGGUGUGUAUGACAUGACGAAAAGAUUUAAACUAAACACUGAUGAUAAAGGGUGUUUAAGCAUGAAAAACAGAAAAAUAUGUAGAAAAAUAUCUAUACAUAACUACUAGCAUAACGUUUGUUUAUUUCAGAAGGAUCCAUUGAUGAGAUUUAUUCGGUGCCGCAGAGACAUCUCUAUUUAAACCUUUAGAAAUGAAAAGGUUUGAAAUCCUUCAAAUUCAAGCUUCAAAUGACUGAUAGACUUUUCAUCCCUGACUUUAAAUUAUUUUAGGUCUAUAUUUAUACGCUAAUCACCGACGCUAUAAGUGAAGGUGAAUAUUUUUUUGGAUUUAUGUAUUAAAGGACAUAAUUAUAAUACUCCGAUAUAACUAAUAAACGUAUAUUUUUUGUUUGAGAGAACAAUAUACUAGUUGAUAAAGCUGCGUUUUAUAUUCUAUAAUGACAGAAAUGUUUUAUGAAAAAAAGAUUGCUUUAAUUAUCUGGAAUGUGUUUUCGCCCAUCCUCCUUAUUUUCGGAACAGCAGGAAAUAUUACGACAAUUGUUCUGAUGCAACGCAGGUCCAGUUACACUGGCAUAUCAAAGUAUCUGACUGGCGUUGCUGUAUCAGACUUAUUAGUACUAUGGAUUAUAGUACCCAGAAAUUGGAUAAUCUUCGGGUACGGAAUUGACUUAAUGUCGCCGUUGAUAUGUAAAGUACAAUUAUAUUUACUCUGUGUUUGCUCAUUUUGCUCUGUUUGCUUUGUUGUUAUGGUAACAAUUGAGCACUUUAUUGUUUCAUGGAUGUCGGGGAAAACAAAAAGUAUAUUUACAUCACAAAAGAUGAACCUUUUUUUUAUUAAGCCAGGUGACUCUCUUUACUAUACUGAUGGUACAUUUUCUUUAUAGUAGGGGAAACCUAGAGAAAGAAAUGUGUUACCCGAUAGACGAGAGUUAUGCCAAUUUAUAUUUUUAUAUAUGGUCACAGAUAGUAGACGCGAUGUCCCUGAUACCAUUAGCAACCAUGGUGGUAGUAAAUAUAUACAUCAUCACCCGAGUCUUUACAGUCAAAUGGAAUACUCGCACACAGGUUAUACCACUGACACUGACAACAACAGCACGAGGAUGUAAAGAACGAAGUGGCUCAAGUCACUGGCUUUAGUUUACAUUAUAUGCGCCAUUCCCUUUAUGGUGUUUCGGCUUAUCUAUACAAGCUGGGUUCUGUCACAUGGUAACGAGUACAGUGAUGCCGUUCUGGAACUGUUUUGGGCUAUCUUCAAUGCAUUACUUAACACCCAUAAUGCAGUCAAUUCCAUAUCAUAUUUCAUCAGCGGGUCCGGUUUCUUAAAAGAGGUCAAUAAAAUCUUCUACCUACUGCUAUGUCAGCGGAAUGUGCAUUCACGAAAACGAGUCGAAUACGCUCAAACCGCCGAAGAAAAUAUAGGGCAGUAAAACAUGGUCAGUGUAUGUCAUGUUUAUGCUCAGUUUCCCACUAAGAAAUUACGAUCCAAACAAAGAAUAUGCACGAAAACAAAUAACCCCUGGAAUCACAACAUGUUAUAUGUGUAUCAGUCGAACCUCCAGUUUUACUCUCCAGUAAACUGUUUACAAUCAAAACAUAUAUUAACCACGACGUGUAGGAAUAAUGGAGAUAUAUCAGUUAAGUUAAUAAUUUAUUUAUAGUAUCAUGUCGUUAAAUUAGUUUAGUUUAUACUGAUUUAUUUUUGCUCGAUUCUGAUGAAAGCUUUCAGCUUAUUUGAACCAAUCCCGAGUCCGCUUCCUGGAGAAAAACCAGUACUGGUGUCAUAUGAGAAGUCAUGGUUGUGACCCCGAUGGGGCUUGAACCAACGACCCCCGGGUUGAGCGGCCAACACCUUAACCACUAGACUGCCGCUGUCCUAGCAUGCCGUUCAAUAUCCAUGUUCAUGUACAUGUACAUGUGGGCCUCACAGUUUGGUGAACAUACCUGCACUUUGAACUGAUAACCAUAUGUAACUGGAUUUAAUGCCUUCAGUUUUAACAUAUACCUAUACAUAUAAAGAAUGCGUGUUUAUUCCAUGCCUCACUACUAACUGUUUUUCUCCUUUUCUCAACAUAUUCAUUUUCCACAGAAUGUAUAUAUGACACAAAAAAAAUGAUAAAGUUAGUGAAAACAAGUGUUAGCUAUUUGUAAAAUGAAUAGAAACUUUGUCCAUUAUUUCAAAGCGUUGCACAAUUUACUCCUUUCUGCACAACAUUUUGGAUUAUUUGUAAGAAGACGUUGCAAUAAUCAUAUGUCACUGAUUACUUUUAAAGUAUCCACAUUUUAUGAAAAUGUGUAAUAGAACUGAUAUUAAGGAACAAAUGCUUCUGUCGACUUAUGGUAUUGCAAGUGGUAUGUUUUUCAUUGCUUGUGUAAUUAUAUUUUAAAAAGAUGUAAUAGGUAUUUUGGAAAAAUGUUUUGUUGUUUAUUGUAUUGCGAACUGUUUUAGUUUUACUUUUUAAGUGAUAUUGUUAUGAAAAGA